UCCCUAAAAGCCAUCCCAGUUCGGAUCGCAGGCUGCAACCCGCCUGCGUGAAGUUGGAAUCGCUAGUAAUCGCGGAUCAGCAUGCCGCGGUGAAUACGUUCCCGGGCCUUGUACACACCGCCCGUCACACCAUGAGAGUUAGGAAUACCCGAAGCCUGUGAGCCAACUUUAUAAGAGGCAGCAGUCGAAGGUAGAACUAAUGAUUGGGGUGAAGUCGUAACAAGGUAUC
rnacentral:rRNA from 1 species